AUCGUCAGUGUGCUGACGUUCGUGUACUCGAUCGUAAUCGUCGUGCGAUUAACUGUGUUUAGUGUAUAUUGGUGCAUUGAAUUGUGUGAAAUAAGCAAACGAAAGCAAUUCACAAUUGAAGAAAAAUAAAAAUAAUAUUUUUCGUUUAAAAAAGGUGACAAAAACGCUGACAUACCUAAUGAAUUCAGGCCACUCUACAGUUUCUAACAUAUGGAAAGUUCGAGACAAAAUAGAAGAAGAAUUUCAAAACAAAAAAUGAUCAGUUAAAAAACAUCGAAAUUGUACGCAUGUGGAUUUAGACACUGUUUUAUUAUGAUGGUUUGAAAAUCAAAGAAAUGUAUGCAUUCAAAUUAAUGGAUCGAUUCUUCAACAGAAAGCCAAUGAAUUAGCUAAAGCUCUUGGUAAGUAUAAUUUUAAGUGUCCAACUGGUUGGAUUUAAAGAUGUAAAAUUAGGCACAAUAUUGUAUUUUUUAAAAUAAGUGGAAAAUUAAAUUUGUCCAACACUGAAAUUACACAAAAUUGGUUCGAAAAAUAUGGCCAAAAUUACGGCAAGAAUACAUAGAUGACCAGAUUUAUAUUAUAAUGUCGAUGCGACUGGACUUUUAUUUAAAAUGCUUUCUAACAGCAAAUUCAAAUUUAAAAGAGAAAAAUAUCCUGGUGGUAAAAUUUUUAAGGAACGCUUUACCGUUUUUGUUUCAGAAAGUAUGUCUGGUAAAAAAAGAAAACUGAUCAUAAAUAUUCAUAUUUGACCAUGGAAAAUUUCGUAAGACACAGUGUUUCGAAAAUAUCGACCAGUAAUAUACAAAUCAAAUUCCAAAACUUGGUUGACUGUAAAACGGUCUAAAAUUUUAUUAAAUUGGGAUUUACAGUUGAGAAGAAAAAAGAAAAUAUCUUAUUCUUAGUUGACAACUGCCCGGCACAUUCCAAAGUUGAAUUACUCAAUAUUAAACUAGUGUUUUUACCCAGUAAUUGCACGUCUGUUUUUCAACCAAUGGAUCAAGGUGUAAUAAAAUGUAUAAAAACUUAUUUUCGAAAAACUUUAGUGCUAUAAAUUAUUAAUGAUAUAGAAAGUAAAGUUCAAACCAAUAUCAGCGUAUUAGAUAGCAUACUCGUAUUAAUGAUUUUUCAAGCUUUGGAAAAAGUAUCAGAGAGUGCAACUGUUUUCGUCACGCUGGAUUCAAUAAUGCUAUUCAUCAUCAAGCGUCUCUAAAGGGACAAGAAGAUGAAAUUAAUUUGUCAAUGAUUUGUCAAUUUGAUUAUUAUAUUAACUUUGAUAAUAAUGUGCUGAUUUCAGUGCCAAGGUGCCCAAGAAAUCAUUUCUUCUUUGAAUAACCAACCCGAAAAACGAGAGGGAGACGACAAUAGUGAACAUGAUACUUCCGAGGAAGAUUUAUCCAUCAGUUCAGUUUUUAAUGCAGUAAAUAUUUCAUCGAAUUAUAUGUCUCUGAGUAAUGUAAGUUUAAAAAAAAAAAAUUAAGAAAGAAAUCAAGAAAUUGAAAAAAAAUACUGCAUGAUUAUACAAAAAAAAUUAAAACUAAAAAAACAGAUUUGUUUAAUACAAUGUAAAGUUAAUUUUAAAAU